AAUCAAACCGGGAGAUAGCUGGUUCUCCCCGAAAGCUAUUUAGGUAGCGCCUCGUGAAUUCAUCUCCGGGGGUAGAGCACUGUUUCGGCUAGGGGGCCAUCCCGGCUUACCAACCCGAUGCAAACUGCGAAUACCGGAGAAUGUUAUCACGGGAGACACACGGCGGGUGCUAACGUCCGUCGUGAAGAGGGAAACAACCCAGACCGCCAGCUAAGGUCCCAAAGUCAUGGUUAAGUGGGAAACGAUGUGGGAAGGCCCAGACAGCCAGGAUGUUGGCUUAGAAGCAGCCAUCAUUUAAAGAAAGCGUAAUAGCUCACUGGUCGAGUCGGCCUGCGCGGAAGAUGUAACGGGGCUAAACCAUG
rnacentral:rRNA from 2 species